rnacentral:rRNA from 1 species
AGAGUUUGAUCCUGGCUCAGGAUGAACGCUGGCGGCGUGCUUAACACAUGCAAGUCGAACGAAGCACUUUUAUUUGAUUUCUUCGGAAUGAAGAUUUUAGUGACUGAGUGGCGGACGGGUGAGUAACGCGUGGGUAACCUGCCUCAUACAGGGGGAUAACAGUUAGAAAUGACUGCUAAUACCGCAUAAGACCACAGCACCGCAUGGUGCAGGGGUAAAAACUCCGGUGGUAUGAGAUGGACCCGCGUCUGAUUAGGUAGUUGGUGGGGUAACGGCCUACCAAGCCGACGAUCAGUAGCCGACCUGAGAGGGUGACCGGCCACAUUGGGACUGAGACACGGCCCAAACUCCUACGGGAGGCAGCAGUGGGGAAUAUUGCACAAUGGGGGAAACCCUGAUGCAGCGACGCCGCGUGAGCGAUGAAGUAUUUCGGUAUGUAAAGCUCUAUCAGCAGGGAAGAAAAUGACGGUACCUGACUAAGAAGCACCGGCUAAAUACGUGCCAGCAGCCGCGGU